rnacentral:rRNA from 1 species
AUACGAAAGGUUAAAGCGUUGUUCGGAUUUACUGGGCGUAAAGAGAGUGUAGGUGGUUUAUUAAGUCGGAUGUGAAAUCCCGGGGCUCAACCUCGGAACUGCAUUCGAUACUGAUAGGCUAGAGUUUGGGAGGGGUAAGCGGAAUUCCGUGUGUAGCAGUGAAAUGCGUAGAUAUACGGAGGAACACCUGAGGCGAAGGCGGCUUACUGGACCAAUACUGACACUGAGACUCGAAAGCGUGGGUAGCAAACAGGAUUAGAAACCCUAGUAGUCC